rnacentral:rRNA from 1 species
AUUGAACGCUGGCGGCAUGCCUAACACAUGCAAGUCGAACGAGGUUGGCUUCGGCCAGCCUAGUGGCGGACGGGUGAGUAAUGCGUGGGAAUCUGCCUCGUAGUGGGGGAUAACGUAGGGAAACUUACGCUAAUACCGCAUACGCUCUACGGAGGAAGGGGGGGGAUCUUUGGACCUCUCGCUAUGAGAUGAGCCCACGUCUGAUUAGCUAGUUGGUGGGGUAAAGGCCUACCAAGGCGACGAUCAGUAGCCGGCCUGAGAGGGUGUACGGCCACACUGGGACUGAGACACGGCCCACACUCCUACGGGAGGCAGCAGCGGGGAAUAUUGGACAAUGGGCGAAAGCCUGAUCCAGCAAUGCCGCGUGUGUGAAGAAGGCCUGCGGGUUGUAAAGCACUUUAAGUGGGGAAGAAUGGGAUUGCGCUAAUACCGUGAUCCUUUGACGUUACCCACAGAAUAAGCACCGGCUAACUCCGUGCCAGCAGCCGCGGUAAUACGGAGGGUGCGAGCGUUAAUCGGAAUUACUGGGCGUAAAGCGCAUGUACGCGGUUUGAUAAGUCGGAUGUGAAAU